CUCUCUGGAGAUUUAAUAAAAUUGAAAGAAUACGAAGUAGAUUAGCAUGCCCCUACGCUAGAUGGUAUACACAAAUCAAGAAAUGAUUCAAUUUUAU
rnacentral:snRNA from 2 species